CGGUGCCGAGCUCUCAGAGCAGCUGAGCGCCUCAAGCCUUCACGAGGACAGCGUGCCCGCCGACUGCGCCGUCCUGUGGGCGUCGCUCGACCCUGUGCGGCGGUGCA
rnacentral:rRNA from 1 species